rnacentral:tRNA from 1 species
AGACUAGAUUCCAAGGCCCUUGGAGUCCCCACAGAAGUUAUCUGAACGGCGGGUCUGCGGACCCUGAACAGCGUUUGGGUCUGUAGCUCAGUUGGUUAGAGCGCACCCCUGAUAAGGGUGAGGUCGCUGGUUCAACUCCAGCCAGACCCACCAGUCCCGACUGGGGCCAUAGCUCAGCUGGGAGAGCGCCUGCCUUGCACGCAGGAGGUCGGGAGUUCGAUCCUCCCUGGCUCCACCACUCCUGUACAGUCGUCGCAUCGCCCCAACGAACCCAGUCCUCAAGACUUAUCAAGUGAGUGUUCAGGACUUGGUUUGACCAAGUACGAGUUCUUUAACAAAACGGUGAGAUCGUAAGGCGUCUGAACGGAGUCGUAUCCGCUCAGAGCAACGUAGGUGACGUCAAUGACGUGACCCCGAUCG